AGGCGGCAGCGGAAGGUGGGAGCGACGACUGCAAAACGGCAGCGAUGGGGUGGGUAGGCAGGCCGCUUUCAGCGCGCUUCUAACAAGGUGGAGAGAGGCGCUUCACUUCCCUACCGCCCUUACCGCCGCUCCGUCUUGUCUCCCACCGACUCACAGGGAGGCUUGCUGCUCCUCCGCGGCCGUUACAGAGAGCGGGGCUUCUGCGGCCGCUACCGUUUCCCUGGGGCUAGGUUGCUUCGCAGAAGGCUCUGGCCCUGAGUCCGAGGGGGACUGCGGGGUCCAGGGGCGAUGAAUGGUGAGGUGGCUUCAGUCCGCCCUCCCCGGGGACGCUGAGCGUGUUCGUGUUCGUGUUUGUGUUUGUGUUUGUGUUGGACACCCCCGCCCCCGCACGUCCGCCUCGUCACUCCUCCCCUCCUCACUCCCGCCACCUGGAGCGAAUCUGAUCGUGUCCCUGUUUCCUCCCUCAGCUCCCGCAACCUCCGGAGCUUGUGCGCGUACUUCAGGGACCGGCACCACGUCACCGUCACCUCCUGAGUAGUGAGUUCCCCUCUGAUGAAACCACUGGUGUGUUUACUCACCAUCCCCACCAUUUUUUUUUCCCCAACCUGAUGGAAGGAAGUACAUAAUGGAGAGCAAGUUUUUAAAGCACGGUCGUGUCGUGUGAACUUGCUCUAGCCAAAUUAGGUUUAUAGCACUUUUUUUGGCUCUCAUUACCUCCAGUCCCCACAUAAACAAGAGUGACCAGCUGGGUCAUCCGCAAGACCGUUUGAAAUUAUUGUGGCUUGGGUGGAAACUUAAAGGAGUGAAGUAUCUGCUUUCCAGAAAAAUCGUUGUCAUUCAAAGUGAAAUUAAACUUGUUUUCUUUGCAAUAA
rnacentral:lncRNA from 10 species